rfam:Lipomyces starkeyi NRRL Y-11557 unplaced genomic scaffold LIPSTscaffold_2, whole genome shotgun sequence.
GGUUGUAUAGUGUAGUGGCUAUCACACCAGAUUUUGAUUAUUGUUGAAGAUUUCUGGUAACCCCGGUUCGAUCCCGGGUACGACCU